AGAGUUUGAUCCUGGCUCAGGAUGAACGCUGGCGGCGUGCCUAACACAUGCAAGUCGAACGGGCCGCGCCUGAAACCUAGUGAAGGCGCGGCCAGUGGCGGACGGGUGAGUAACGCGUGGGCAACCAGCCGCGCACAGGGGGACAACGGCCGGAAACGGCCGCUAAUACCGCAUAUUCCCGCGGGGCCGCAUGGCCCUGCGGGGAAAGCCCGGGGCGACCCGGACGGUGCGCGAUGGGCCCGCGUCCGAUUAGCUUGUUGGCGGGGCAGCGGCCCACCAAGGCGACGAUCGGUAGCCGGCCUGAGAGGGCGGACGGCCACACUGGGACUGAGACACGGCCCAGACUCCUGCGGGAGGCAGCAGUGGGGAAUAUUGCACAAUGGGGGGAACCCUGAUGCAGCGACGCCGCGUGGGUGAAGGAGCACCUCGGUGCGUAAAGCCCUAUCGGCAGGGAAGAAACAGACGGUACCUGACUAAGAAGCCCCGGCUAACUACGUGCCAGCAGCCGCGGUAAUACGUAGGGGGCAAGCGUUAUCCGGAUUCACUGGGUGUAAAGGGAGCGUAGACGGCGACGCAAGUCUGGAGUGAAAGCCCGGGGCCCAACCCCGGGACUGCUCUGGAAACUGCGGCGCUGGAGUACGGGAGGGGCAGGCGGAAUUUCCUGGUGUAGCGGUGAAA
rnacentral:rRNA from 1 species